GAGAAUCACUCGAACCCAGGAGGUGGAGGUUGUGGUGAGCUGAGAUUGCGCCACUGCACUCGAGCCUGGGGGACAGAGUGAGACUCUGUCUCAAAAAAUAAAAUAAAAUAAAAUAAAAUAAAAUAAAAUAAAAUAAUGUAGGACAACCAAUAGAGGAACUCAGGCUCACCUUACUUUAUGUUACAUAUGAUAUGGAACAUUUAUUUUUUUGUUUUUAAUUUUUUUUUUUUUAAGAUGGGGUUUUACCAUGUUGGUCAGACUGGUCUUGAACUCCCAACCUCAGAUGAUCCUCCCACCUUGGCCUCCAAAGUGCUUGGAUUACAGGUGUGAGCCACCGCACCUGACCAAUAUAGAACAUUUCAGGGGGACAAACAUUUGUCACUUUGUAUCAUGAUGUCAUAUAUGAUAGCCAAUGAUAACUAAUGAUAACUCAAGAGGGGGAGGCUGCCCUGUUCACACUAUGUCACUUAUGACAUCAAGGAGCCCAGACCUCAGUUGCAUUAUGUCACUAUGGCACAUACAAUGUCAUCCAACAACUGAUAGAAGGGUUGCAGGUCUCAUUCACAGUGCAUGUGAGUCACAAAUGUCACAACAUGAUACAGCAGUGAGGGAGAUGCAUGAGUGAUUGAAAAUAAUGCUACCUCGUGAAGCAUUGCAUUGAGAAGCAUGAGGUUCAUGUGCUAUCAUCGUCUGUGAUACAUAUUUAAA
rnacentral:lncRNA from 13 species